UGAGCCUUCAGGCAAAAGGGAAGUCAGUGAAUAUAAAAAUUAUAUGGAGAGGGGAAAUUUGCCAUUGGAAGUGUAUAAAGCACAGAUGAUUGGUGAGGUGGCUUUGCUUCAUCUACUACAAGGGAAAAAUGGCUUGAAAAUGACAUUGCACCAAUGCCCAAAUGUGUGAAUUGCAUGAUUGCCCUACAAGGGAAUGCGAAAAAUUUGUCUUAGCAACAGUGGCCUUAUUAAGUUCACCCUUGUCUAAGCAAACUACACAGUUUUUUCUGUUUUUUUCCCUUUUCCCUCCCAUUCUCUCACUUACAUGAGCCACACCCACCUCUCCAAAUGGGGUGGCUGCAAUCACUCCUCUCUCCAUUGAAGAAGCUGUGGUUUCGUAUGCAUUCAAAUCCUAAAAAGAGAAGAGGGAUAUACAUUCUAUAUGAGGAUGUGAAAUCUUGUCCCUAUGAAGAUGUUCAUGUCCUAUGGUCAAUACUAGUGGAAUCAAAUGCACCUUCCUUGCCAUCAAAACAAUGAAGGCGUAUACUCAGUACAGAGUUUACAAAAAUUUAAUGAGAGAUGUCCAGUCAAUUUCAUGUACAUAAAAUAUUUAUGAUGUUUAAUAUACUCUGGUGAAAAGGCCUUUUUGUUUUCUAUUUUUGCCUUCUAAGUUUCUUGUCAUCUCAGUUACAAACUAUACUAGAACAUCACUUUCCUUGUUUCA